rnacentral:rRNA from 1 species
GACGUAGGGCGCGAGCGUUGUCCGGAUUUAUUGGGCGUAAAGAGCUCGUAGGCGGCUUGUCGCGUCGACUGUGAAAACCCGAGGCUCAACCUCGGGCCUGCAGUGGGGUACGGGCAGACUAGAGUGGCGGUAGGGGAGAUUGGAAUUCCCGGUGUAGCGGUGAAAUGCGCAGAUAUCAGGAGGAACACCGGUGGCGAAGGCGGUUCUCUGGGCAUGUCCUGACGUGAGGAGCGAAAGUGUGGGGAGCGAACAGG